GAAAUGCGAUAAGUAAUGUGAAUUGCAGAAUUCAGUGAAUCAUCGAAUCUUUGAACGCACAUUGCGCCCGCCAGUAUUCUGGCGGGCAUGCCUGUUCGAGCGUCAUUACAACCCUCAGGCCCCCGGGCCUGGCGUUGGGGAUCGGCGGAAGCCCCCUGCGGGCACAACGCCGUCCCCCAAAUACAGUGGCGGUCCCGCCGCAGCUUCCAUUGCGUAGUAGCUAACACCUCGCAACUGGAGAGCGGCGCGGCCACGCCGUAAAACACCCAACUUCUGAAUGUUGACCUCGAAUCAUGUAGGAAUACCCGCUGAACUUAAGC
rnacentral:misc_RNA from 1 species